CGGUCAUCAGAUGGAGAUGCUGAACUUGAUUUAGGAUAUUGAAGUUGUGAAUCCUCUUCUGACCGAGUUAAUUGAAAUUCACCUAAAUUAAUAAUAUCAAGUGAACCAAGAAAAAUUAUAUUAAUCACCAACGUGAAAAGGACUUGUUACCAAUUCAGAUGAGAAUUAACUUUGCCAAUGAAGAAAGAAAAAGAAUCAAGAGAAAGAGACAACUCAAGAAAGAGGAGAAAGGACCAAACCCUAAACAGCCAUUACAACUACUAAAUAGUUAUUACAAUUCUAAUACAACUGAUCAACCCAUGGAAAUAAAUAACAAUUUUGAUGAUGAUGUGAUUUAACGUUUAAAAUUGGGCAAUUAUGUUGUAAAAAUGGAUGGAUAUUUAUAUGAGACUGUAUAACAAUGGCAAUUAGGAUGAUGAUAAAUAAUAAUCUUUCGGAAUGAUAAUGAUGAAGAGAGAGAAAACAUCAACAUAUAAGUGUAACAUUGUAACAACAACAUUAUAACGAUAAUGAAAACGAUCAAUUAUGGAAGAUGAUAAUGAUGAUAAAGCAAGAAAUCGAUUUUCAGUCAUCACAUAAAUUAACUGAAUGGUUUUUGGAACUUGAUUCAACAGCAGCAUGGAGAUGGAGCAAUGGAAAAUGCAGAUGAGGAAAGUGAAAAAAAAAGACGAAAAAUUUUCUCUAAAAGAAGACUAUCAAAGAGAAAAAAAGAAGAAGAAGAAAAUAAUAAAGGAUGAUGAUGAUGAUGGCAAAGAAGAUGGAAAAAGCCACUGUGCAAAACUAAUAAUAACUACGCGACCAGGAUAUCAUUUUUCAUGCUACCUUGAGAGAGAGUAAAAAGACUUGACGUUUACGGAUCAUUUUUAUUUUUCUUCAUCAUCUCCAUCAUUUUGUUUCUUCAUAUUUACUAUAUUUAUCAUCAUUAUCCCAGAGCAACUGUUUCUCUCUACCUGGUAUUAAUAUUACCCUCACUGUAUGGGAUUACAGGGUAUUUAAAAUUAACUCAACCUCACACACACACAACAGCUACUAUUUAAUGACAUAUAAUACCAUCAAACCAUAACGAUUUAAAUUGUGAGCGUAUAAGCUAAGUUACCAUUGUUGAUUGUUACUCACCUAAUUUACGACACAAUCCACCAGUACAGUUUUUCACAUGUGAUUCAGGACCAGGACAGUCUCGUCCACCAUAUUUGGCUGGAGGAUUUGUACAGCAAAUUUAGGUUUCACUCCGUGGAAAUUACCUGCUGACAAUCAUGGGAACAAGUUGACCAAGAUGUCCAAGGAGACCAUUGACCGUCAACGGGACCACAAAUUUUGUAGCAAUUUGGUAUUUCGGCUGAAUCAUCAUCAC